rnacentral:rRNA from 1 species
GAUGAACGCUAGCUACAGGCUUAACACAUGCAAGUCGAGGGGUAACAAGAGAAAAGCUUGCUUUUCUUGUUGACGACCGGCGCACGGGUGAGUAACGCGUAUCCAACCUGCCUAUAACUAGGGAAUAACCUUGCGAAAGUAAGACUAAUACCCUAUGAUUUCCUUUGAUGACAUCAGAUUAGGAAUAAAGAUUUAUCGGUUAUAGAUGGGGAUGCGUCUGAUUAGCUUGUUGGCGGGGUAACGGCCCACCAAGGCAACGAUCAGUAGGGGUUUUGGAAGGAAGGGCCCCCACAUUGGAACUGAGACACGGUCCAAACUCCUACGGGAGGCAGCAGUGAGGAAUAUUGGUCAAUGGGCGGAAGCCUGAACCAGCCAAGUAGCGUGCAGGAUGACGGCCCUAUGGGUUGUAAACUGCUUUUAUACAGGAAUAAAGUUAGCCACGUGUGGUUAUUUGUAGGUACUGUAUGAAUAAGGACCGGCUAAUUCCGUGCCAGCCGCCGCAGUAA